rnacentral:sRNA from 3 species
AUAUCUCUCUGUACGGGAAGGAUGAGAAGCUUCGACUAAGGUUCGAUUCGAGCGCAGCGAGAAAGCGUUGCCGCAGGCAACGACCCGAAGGGCGAAGCGCGCAGCGCUGAGUCA